UAUUGCACAAUGGGGGAAACCCUGAUGCAGCGACGCCGCGUGAGCGAAGAAGUAUUUCGGUAUGUAAAGCUCUAUCAGCAGGGAAGAAGAUGACGGUACCUGACUAAGAAGCUCCGGCUAAAUACGUGCCAGCAGCCGCGGUAAUACGUAUGGAGCAAGCGUUAUCCGGAUUUACUGGGUGUAAAGGGAGCGUAGGCGGCCUGGCAAGUCUGGUGUGAAAUACCGGGGCCCAACCCCGGGACUGCUCUGGAAACUAUGUGACUGGAGUGCAGGAGAGGUGAGCGGAAUUCCUAGUGUAGCGGUGAAAUGCGUAGAUAUUAGGAGGAACACCAGUGGCGAAGGCGGCUCACUGGACUGUAACUGACGUUGAGGCUCGAAAGCGUGGGGAGCAAACAGG
rnacentral:rRNA from 1 species